rnacentral:rRNA from 1 species
GUCGGGAAUUUUGGGCAAUGGGCGAAAGCCUGACCCAGCAACGCCGCGUGAGGGAUGAAGUAUUUCGGUAUGUAAACCUCGAAAGAAUGGGAAGAAUAAAUGACGGUACCAUUUAUAAGCUCCGGCUAACUACGUGCCAGCAGCCGCGGUAAUACGUAGGGAGCAAGCGUUGUUCGGAUUUACUGGGCGUAAAGGGCGCGUAGGCGGCGCGGUAAGUCACUUGUGAAAUCUCUGAGCUUAACUCAGAACGGCCAAGUGAUACUGCUGUGCUAGAGUGCGGAAGAGGCAACCGGAAUUCUUGGUGUAGCGGUGAAAUGCGUAGAUAUCAGGAGGAACACCGGCGGUGUAGACGGCUUGCUAGACCAUAACUGACGCUGAGGCACGAAAGCGUGGGUAGCAAACA